UUUAUGGAGAGUUUGAUCCUGGCCCAGGAUGAACGCUUGCGGCGCGCCUAAUACAUGCAAGUCGAGCGA
rnacentral:rRNA from 1 species